AGCGCACCUCUCAUUUGUCAUACGAGCCCUUGGCCUCGCCCAUAAGCUGAUUCUCUCCUCAUCUUGCGAACAAGGAUUUGCAAUUGGCCACGCCCCCCCUGGACCGACGCAUUGAUUUGAUGACAAUUCCUAGAGGUUUACGGCUACACGUCCUGACGCUUCCGUGUGCUCCUGCUCUCCCUAUUCUGGCCGCAGCUAUGCCCCGCCCUCAGUAAACCCCACCCACCAGAGCUGCUUAUCAGUGGUUUAUGGGAGCUGCAGUUUGGAGUCUUUUCAUUAAUCGUCUCUCAGGAGGAUGAGGAAGGUCGUAGUUGUCACGGGCGCUAACAGUGGCAUUGGCUUGGCGCUCUGUGAGCGUCUUCUUUCCAAUGAUGACCAAAUCCGCCUGUGCUUAGCAUGCAGAAACUUGCAAAGGGCAGAGGCAGCCCGCUCUGCUCUCUUGUCUUCUCACCCGUCGGCAGAUGUCGGUGUCCUGCUCGUAGAUGUUGGUAAAGUUAAGUCUGUUGUACAAGCAGCAAAAGAGCUAAAGGAAAGGUAUAAGAAAGUGGACUAUUUAUACUUGAAUGCUGGCAUCAUGCCAAAUCCUCAGAUCAGCCUCAGGGCCUUCAUCAAUGGUUUGUUUUCCAGAAAUGUCAUCAAUAUGUUUGCAACCGCCGAGGGAAUUCUUACCCAGAAAGACAGGGUUACAGAAGAUGGUUUGCAGGAAGUUUUUGAGACCAAUGUUUUUGGUCAUUUUAUGUUGAUUAGAGAAAUUGAACCCCUUCUAUGUCAAGGGGACAGCACAUCACAGCUUAUAUGGACCUCAUCAAGCAAUGCAAGAAAAUCCGCCUUUAGUCUUUCAGAUUAUCAACACAGUCAGAGUCAGGAACCCUACAGCUCCUCAAAAUAUGCAACAGACUUGUUAAGUGUGGCUCUCAACAAGCACUACAACAAACAAGGCUUGUACUCCAGUGUGGUAUGCCCAGGCCUUGUGAUGACAAAUCUAACAUACGGCAUCAUGCCUUCUUUCUUGUGGACACUAAUCAUGCCGAUAAUGUGGCUGAUCCGGAUUUUCACAAACUCUUUUACAAUCUCAACGUACAAUGGAGCAGAGGCUUUGAUGUGGCUGUUUAAGCAAAAGGUAGAAUCACUUGACCCCCUGUCCAAAUAUCACAGCUGCACAUCAGGACUGGGAAAUAAUUAUGUAAAUUUAACAAAGAUGGAUGUUGAGGAGGAAAGUGGUGACUUGUUAUUUCAGAAGAUGCUGGAAUUAGAAAAGGAGAUUCGUAAAAAAUGUAUCUCUUGAGCAUCGGAAUUCAUAGAUUUUCUCCAGGCACUUAAUCAUCCUUUGACAGGGAUGUCUUGUCCAGCUACCUUCCGGGAUCCUUCAAAAGACAUGUUUAUUAACAUCAGGUCCCUUGAAACAUACCUCUUUUUUUAUGGGUAAUUGAAUUGAAGUAUUAUAUGAUCAUACCAGCAUGGAGCUGUUAUCUGGUAUACUUGGGAUCUGUGCUUUUCCAGAUAAUAGGCCUUUCUGUAAUUAAGAGCACUACUACAAACAUUUAUAUAUAGGAUUGUUUUCUCCAUGAAUAUUUUAUUUUAUGCAGAAAAAUUGUCUUAAUUAGACAGAACUUUGUAUUUAAUUACAGAGAAAAAUCAAAUCUGUAAAACUGAUGUUGUGAGAAAUGCAAGUGCUGUAUUUUGGCGCAUUCUGGAUAAUGGGUUUCUAAGGUCCCAUACUUGUAGUGUGUCUCGGAUAUAUGACUACAACAAUGCUGGCAUCACAUAAAAACAAGUCUUUGUCACUGAAGCAUAUGUUUUUAACUAAAGUUAAAAAUACAUUUUGCUGCUAAUGAUCCAAUAGUGGUAUUUAUUAUAGACAUCAUUCUACUAUUCUUCAUUGCUUUUAACCUCUAUUUUGCUAAAGCUGUAUUUUUAAUAUUACUUAAAAACAUCCGCACCCAAACUCAUAUCUAGCAGAUCGAUUGGAUAUUGUUAUCUUUUCUCACUUCUUUGCAAACUCAUGGUUACAAUUUCUUUUGAUUGUCAGCCUGUUCAAAUGUUGCUACAAGUAUGGGACCUGCUAUCCAGAAUGCUUGGACCUGCUAAGGGUUUUAGCACACAGGCACAUUCGAGGAGAUUUAUUUGCUUG